rnacentral:rRNA from 1 species
GUUACUGCCUUGGGUCCGGUUAACCCGGGAAAUGGGGAUAAUUCCGGAUAACGCAUAUAUGCUGGAAUGCUUUAUGCGUAAAAUGGAUUCGUCUGCCCAAGGAUGGGUCUGCGGCCUAUCAGGUAGUAGUGGGUGUAAUGUACCUACUAGCCUACGACGGGUACGGGUUGUGAGAGCAAGAGCCCGGAGAUGGAUUCUGAGACAUGAAUCCAGGCCCUACGGGGCGCAGCAGGCGCGAAAACUUUACAAUGCGGGAAACCGUGAUAAGGGGACACCGAGUGCUAGCAUCAUAUGCUGGCUGUCCAGGUGUGUAAAAUACACCUGUUAGCAAGGGCCGGGCAAGACCGGUGCCAGCCGCCGCGGUAACACCGGCGGCCCGAGUGGUAAUCGUGUUUAUUGGGUCUAAAGGGUCCGUAGCCGGUUUGGUCAGUCCUCCGGGAAAUCUGAUAGCUUAACUAUUAGGCUUUCGGCGGAUACUGCCAGACUUGGAACCGGGAGAGGUAAGAGGUACUACAAGGGUAGGAGUGAAAUCUUGUAAUCCUUGUGGGACCACCUGUGGCGAAGGCGUCUUACCAGAACGGGUUCGACGGUGAGGGACGAAAGCUGGGGGCACGAACCGGAUUAGAUACCCGGGUAGUCCCAGCCGUAAACGAUGCUCGCUAGGUGUCAGGCAUGGCGCGACCGUGUCUGGUGCCGUAGGGAAGCCGUGAAGCGAGCCACCUGGGAAGUACGCCAG